AUAUAUAAUAAUUAUGUGGGUCUCGACGUAGUCACCUCCUCGUUGGUGAGACCCGGUAAUUGGCAUCGGUUUUCGUUUUAUAUUAUUUGAUCAAAUUAUUAGAAAUAUCACAUUAAAAAUAUUGUAUUAAAACUAUAUUAGAAUGAUUAGUUUUUGAAAACUGAUGCCAAGCUAAGAACUACACUAGUUUUAAGUUUAAGUUUAAGUUUAAGUUUAAGUUUUUGUUAUUGUAUCUUUAACUUGUAAAAUUUUGAUUAUUUUGCAAGAAAUUUCGAAAAUUUAUAAUUCGCGACAUUAUUUAUUAUAAUUGAUUAUAAUCUAAAUUUUGAUAGCGAACAAUUAUAACGUAAUUUUUCCAAAUUAUUCAAAUAAUUUUCCAAAUUUUUGUAAAUAAUUCAUAAAAAUUUUUGAAUGUUAAAAAGUAUCUUAGAACUCAUAGCAGUAUUUUCUUAAACAAAUGUUUGAAACGAAAAAGAAAAAAAAGGAAAAAUAUCGAAUAUUUUACUUUUUUUUCCACCCUAUCCCUCCCUUAUUAUACAAUUUUAUUUUCAGUAAAUUUUUGUUACCGCGCGCGAUCAGUAGAGUCAGUGUUUGCUUUCGUAAAAGUUUUUUUAAAUUCUUUAACGAAUAACGCGAAAUUAGAAUCAGUGUUUGUUCGCCGAAUUUAAUUUUUAACCGGUCGCGUUAAAAGACUACGCGUUUAGAGUCAGUGCUUCUCUCAAGAAAAUACGGCGGUCAUCCAUCACGCGAAGAGAUAUUUCCUAACAUCCCCCUGCCAAUAUUCUUCGCAUCUAAUGGUGAGUCGCAUGCAUUUAUGUUCCUCCGGUCACUCAAUCAUGUCGUAGGACGAAAGGUCCGAAUCGACACGAGUGAUUGGUUGUAUACGUAGAUUUUUGCAACGGGCAUAGUGACCAUGGAUAUAUUUAUUAUAUCCGUGAGUAGUAACAUUUUCUGUGUUUAUUAGCUCAGGCUAGAUCUUCUUGCACAUCGCGUUUCUCAAAUACUAAUAAACUAAAAAUUUUCUUUUCUUUUUUACAUUUCGCUUUAUAUUAUAAUAUAUUUUAAUUAUUCGAUUUUCAAUUUUCAACAAUCAUAUAAUACAAAAUAUAAAAUUUUAAAUUUUAGUUCCUUCGUAUACGAAAAUGUGUAAGAAGAUAUAUCGCGACAGGUAGAUUUCGGAAUCAAAACAAUAAUAUUGAACUUUGUGUUUCUAGUUUCUAAUUCGAAACUAUGUUUUGAUGAAGGAAUCGCCUGAGGUUAUUAAUGUUAACUUUAAUUUUUCAAUUCAAUUAGUUUAUUUUGCAUUUAGUAUUUCUUGUUGUAAAUAAAUUUCUUAUUUAUUUUUCUUUUGCUUUAUUAUUAUAUAGAUAUUAUAUAGAUAUCAUAACUUUAAUAAAAUUAGAGUCAUUAAAUAAAAUUUAAAGUAAAAAUAGAUGAUGAAAUAAAGAAUAUUAGUCCGUUAGAGAAAAAAUAGAUAUUUAUAAUAUUUUUUUAGUUUAGGAUUUUCAGGUUUAACCCCUUCCGUGUCUAUUGCCACGAUCUCACUCACGUGCCCAGGUGUUACUUGGGUGAGAGAGAGGCAAUAGGCAUGAUGACUAUAGUUUAUAAGUUUUUAACGGCGACUGACGAUAAGUUAGUGAUCGUGCACGAUGUAUUUUCCACAUUAUGUGUGUUUGCGAUUAGGCUGUGGAAUUGCAUCGUUACGAUUCUCAUUUUUAUUUAUUAUAUUAUCAAUUAUACGAUUUACAAUUUUGUUAAUAUUAUCAUAAAAUUAUAAAUUGUAAAUUGAUACCAAUUAUUAAAUUUUAGUAAUGCCAUUUUUAUUGAUAAUUAAAAUCGAGAUAGAUACGAUUUUUUGUCGCGAUUCACGCAAUGAUCAUUAGCCAUCGUCAGUCGAUUUCAGGAAAAGGUACGUAAAUUUAGAGUGUGAAAGUAGUAUCAAACUCGGGUGUCGGAGGCGUCCCGGGACGUUCUCCCUAGUGUAGGCUUUUUGCACCCGGGUGUAAUGUGUGAGAACCGUGGAGUGAGUGUGUUGGUGUGAUUGUUUUGCCAUUUUUUAAAUAUAGCGCUAGGUAGGAUAGGUAGUAUACUUUCUGGUGUGCGUGUUAAUUAUAAGUAGGUAGGGCCGGGCAGGUUGUCACAGUCUCUGGUCGGGUAGGCGCGUUUUCGCGUGACAACCUGUUUCAGGAAAUACAAUUUGAAAAAUCGAGAGUGGAGCUGAGACGAGUGGUCAUCGAUGACCAUUCGUUUCUGGUUUUACUUAUAUCGAUUUUUCGAAUUUCGCGGUCGCGGUCGCGAAAUGGGCGAAACGAACGUGCGCUCGAGAUUCUGCGCAUGUGCGGACAAUGGUCAGUAAUGACUAUUGGUCGUCCAUGUGCACUCAGCUUUCGCGAUUUAGUCUAUUUUUUUUCUUUUUUUUUUUUGCGAUUAGGAAAUCUCGAGCCUAGACUUAAGUUUCAGCGGGCAUUGCGCCCGAAGGAGGAAGACCGAAGAGGCCUCGACAAACUGUCACGAAGAGGGGCUGCAACGAAUGGUUUCUCAUUUUUUGGAUUUUGUCUGGAUCCAAAGAAUGGGAAGUCAUUGUUACUACUUUGUCACUAUGCUCGUUUUAGAAUCAGUAGUAGUAGUAGUAGUAGUAGUAGUAGUAGUAGUAGUAGUAGUAGUAAUAGUAUGGCCGAUGAGAAUUCCGGCCCAACGUACAAUCAUCAUGGGCAAAUGGGCAAUCGCGAUUUUUUAAUUAGUGUUGCGACAAAUAAAUUACGGUUUGCAUUAGAGUUGCGAAUAAAUAACAAUCGCGUUUGAUUUAGUGUUGCGUUUAAUGAGACAUCGCGAUUUUUUUUAAUAAUUUUAAUUUUAAUAAUACAAUUUUUUAUAAAAAGUAUAUUAAAAAAUUUUACGUUUAUUUUAUUCCAAAUUUUAAUUAUAGAGAUAUUAACUUUCAAUUCAUUUGCAUUUGUAUUAAAUUCAUUUUAAGAAUUAGUGUUGCGUUGAAAAGUAAUCGCGUUUUUGAAAAUAGUGUUGCGUCAAAAAAUAAUCGCGUUUUUGAAAGUAGUGUUGCGCUAAAAAAUGAUCGCGUUUUUAAAAGUAGUGUUGCGUUUAUAAAAUGCCCAUGAUUCUUCCACUAAUAUUGUGGAAGUGAUCCUGUUUUGGGAUCAUAAAAUGCAGUUGCAAGAGCUGCAAAAAUGUGGUCCUACUUUUGGAUCACAAAGUGGGAAAACGGGCAAUCGCGAUUUUUUAAUUAGUGUUGCGACAAAUAAAUUACGGUUUGCAUUAGUGUUGCGAAUAACAAUCGCGUUUGCUUUAGUGUUGCGUUUUAUGAGACAUCGCGAUUUUUUUUUAAUAAUUUUAAUCAUUAUUAAAUUUAAUAAUAUAAUUUUUUUUAAAUAGUAGUAUUAAAAAAUUUUAUGUUUAUUUUAUUUCGAGUUUUAAUUAGAGAUAUUAACUUUCAAUUCAUUUGCAUUUAUAUUAAAUUCAUUUUAAGAAUUAGUGUUGCGUUGAAAAAUAAUCGCGUUUUUGAAAAUAGUGUUGCGCUAUAAAAUGAUCGCGUUUUUGAAAGUAGUGUUGCGUUUAUAAAAUGCCCAUAUUCUUCCACUAACAUUGUGGAAAUGAUCCUGUUUUUGGAUCACAAGUGUGGUCCUUAUAGCCUUUUUUGGCUAUAAUUUUUUUUCAGCGCCCCUAAUUAUUACAGCAUUUGUUAAUGAAAAUACUGCUAAAAAAUUUAUUCAUUUGAAUUUUAAACUCUCGUACUAUUACAUAAAAUUGUUUGCAUUAUGCAAUAAGAACAUUAAUUUAUUUAAUAUUAUAAAUUAAUAUUCUUAUUACGAUAUAUUGAUACAAACAGUUGAUUUAUUUGGAACAAAUGACAAAUAAUUAUUCGUUGUCAAAAUUAAAAUUAAAUUUUUUUCUACUAUUUCCCUAAAAUUAAAUAAAAUUUGUUAGUAUUUUUGCAUUUUUAAUUAUGAAACAAUUGAAUAAAUAUUCGGAAUUCCUGCGUGAAAUAUCAAAAUAAAAUUUUUAAUUUAUUCUAUAUGUAAUUUUUAAGAUAUCUUCGAUUAAAUUUAAACUUAAAUUUAAGAUUUAAAUAAAUUUUAAGUAUUAAAUUUAAGUCUUAGAUUUAAGUUUAAUGUAAGAUAGACAUUUAAAUUAAGUCUUAAAUUUAAGUCUUAGGUUUAAGUUUAAUGUAAAAUAGACAUUUAAAUUAAGUUUAUUGUAAGCACAUUUCGUAAGAUGAUACGCUCCUUAACAUAAAAUCAACUCUAUAUAUACAAAUAUUCAUUCAUAAAUAUUUUCAAUCCCUUACUUUUUUUCUUUUUCCAUUUCUUUUUUUUUUUUUUGUUAAAUAGGAGCGUAUCUUUAGUACGGAUGAUGCCAGUAGGAUAUAUAAAUCAUAGAUUUAAGAUGUAGUAUUAAGAAUAUAGAUUAAGUUAGAUGAACGAUGAUAAAUAAUUUAUUUACCAAUUGUAUCACAUUUCUUUUCUAUGUACAAGAUCUGAUUUGUAGAUAAUUAAUUGUAUUAUUUAAUGUACUGGUCACUUUAUUCAAUAAAUUCAACCUGAUGGGUUUCGAUGCGUAGUCACCUCCCCGUGGGUGAGACCCGGUAAUUGGCAUCGCUUUUCAUACUUUUCAUUUAAAAAGAUAUCUUCAUUUCCAUUCGAAAAUUUUUCGAAAAGCGAUGGCAAGCCAAGAACUACGCACACCUUCAAUCUAGUUUAAAAUGAUUACUUUAAAUUAUUUUGAUUAAUUAACAAUGGAUUAGACUGAAGGUACUAAUAAAGUCUUUUACAUUCGAUGUAAAUGACAAGAUGCGCGCAUCUUAGGUCCUAGUUUUAAGUAUAGUAUAAGAUAGGUUUAAGAUUUAGAAUUAAGAUUUAAUUUUAAUAUAGUCAUCAUAAAUUAUUAUAUUUCGAUAAGAUGCGUGCAUUUUAGAUGUAAGUCUUAGCAUUAAGUAUAAAAUAAGAUAGAUUUAAGAUUUAGUAUUAAGACUUAGAUUUUUAUUAUAAUUGAUUAUACUCGAUGUAAAUGAUAAGAUGCAUGCAUCUUAGAUUUAGGUUCUAACUUUAAGUAUAAUGUAAAAUAGGUUUAAGAUUUAGAAAUAAGACUUAAUUUUAAUAUAUUCAUUGUAAUUUAUUAUAUUUCGAUAAGAUGUGUUUUAGACGUAAGUCCUAGUUUUAAGUAUAAAAUAAGGAUAGGUUUAAGAUUUAGUAUUAAGAUCUAAAAUAAGUUAAUUUAAGACAUCAUCGAUGGACGACGUUGGACGACGUUGGACGACGUUGGAUCACGAUAAUCAACAUACGACAUAGAUUUUUAAUUCUUUUGUUACAAUUUUUUAUAUUCGAUGUAAAUCAUAAGAUGCGAGCGUUUUAGACUUAAGUCCUAAUUUUAAGUAUAUUUUUUAGGUUAGAUUUAAGAUUUAGUAUUGAGAUCUAGAAUAAGUUUAGAUUAGAAUAAGUUAAGAAUAGUUUAAUACUUCAUCGAUGGACAACGUUGGACGUCGUUGGAUCACCAUAAUGAUACAUCAUACGACAUAGAUUUUAAUUUGUUAUAAUUUCAUAUAUUCAAGGUAAAUUAUAAGAUGUAUGCAUCUUAGAUUUAGGUACUAGUUUUUCGAAUAAUGUAAGAUAGAUGUAAGAUACAUGUAAGGUAAAUGUAAGACGGAUGUAAGAUUUAUUAUUAAGAUCUAGAAUAAGUUACUUUAAGACUUCAUCGAUGGACGACGUUGGACGAAGAUGGAUAAUUUAUUUACAAAUGUAUCAUAUUUCUUUUCUAUGUAAUAUAAGAUUUGAUUUGUAAAUAAUUCAUUGUAUCAUUUCAAUGUAUUAGUCAGUAAAUUAUUCAAUAAAUUCAACCUGAUGGGUCUCGAUGCGUAGUCACCUCCCCGUGGGUGAGACCACGGGGUAAUUGGCAUCGCUUUUCACAUUUUUCAUUAAAAAAAAAUAUCUUAAUUUCCAUUCGAAAAUUUUUCGAAAAGCGAUGGCAAGCCAAGAACUACGCACACCUUCAAUCUAGUCUAAAAUGAUUGCUUUAAAUUAUUUUGAUUAAUUAACAAUGGAUUAGAUUGAAGGUACAAAUAUUCGAUGUAAGUGACAAGAUGCGCGCAUCUUAGAUUUAAGUUUUAGUUUUAAAUAUAAUAUAAGAUAGAUUUAAGAUUUAAUAUUAAGGCUUAGAUUUUAAUAUUUUUAUUAGAAUUGAUUAUACUCCAUGUAAAUGAUAAGAUGCAUGCAUCUUAGAUUUAGAUUCUAACUUUAAGUAUAAUGUAAAAUAGGUUUAAGAUUUAGAAAUAAGACUUAAUUUUAAUAUACUCAUUGUAAUUUAUUAUAUUUCGAUAAGAUGCGUUUUAGACGUAAGUCCUAGUUUUAAGUAUAAAAUAAGGAUAGAUUUAAGAUUUAGUAUUAAGAUCUAAAAUAAGUUAAUUUAAGACAUCAUCGAUGGACGACGUUGGACGACGUUGGAUCACGAUAAUCAACAUACGACAUAGAUUUUUAAUUUUUUUGUUAAAAUUUUUUAUAUUCGAUGUAAAUCAUAAGAUGCGAGCGUUUUAGACUUAAGUCCUAGUUUUAAGUAUAAUAUUUCUUAGGUUAGAUUUAAGAUUUAGUAUUAAGAUCUAGAAUAAGUUAGUUUAAGAUUUCAUCGAUGGACAACGUUAGACGACGUUGGACGACGUUGGACGACGUUGGAUCACGAUAAUCAACAUACGAUAUAGAUUUUUAAUUUUUUUGUUAAAAUUUUUUAUAUUCGAUGUAAAUCAUAAGAUGCGAGUGUUUUAGACUUAAGUCCUAGUUUUAAGUAUAAAAUAAGGAUAGAUUUAGUAUUAAGAUCUAAAAUAAGUUAAUUUAAGACAUCAUCGAUGGACGAUGUUGGACGACGUUGGAUCACGAUAAUCAACAUACGACAUAGAUUUUUAAUUUUUUUGUUAAAAUUUUUUAUAUUCGAUGUAAAUCAUAAGAUGCGAGCGUUUUAGACUUAAGUCCCAGUUUUAAGUAUAAUAUUUUUUAGGUUAGAUUUAAGAUUUAGUAUUAAGAUCUAGAAUAAGUUAGUUUAAUUUCAUCGAUGGACGACAUUGGACGACGUUGGACGACGUUGGACGACGUUGGACGACGUUGGACGACGGUGGACGACGAUGGAGGAUCACGAUGAUUAACAUAGGAUAAUAAUAUCAAUUUCCUUUUUAUAAUUUCUUAUAUUCCAUUUAUGAGUGGACGUUAAUGGACAUCGCUUGACAUCGGUGCACAUGAUUGGAUGACGUUGGACGAUAUUGGACGAUGUUGGACAACGUGGGACUGCAUUGAAUCACGAUGAUCAACAUAGGAGAAUAAUUUUAAAUUUAAAUUCCUUUUUAUAAUUUCUUAUAUUCGAUAUUUCAAUGGACAUCAAUGGCCAUUGAUUGACAUCGGUGGACAUUGUUGGAUGACGUUGGACGACGUUGAACGACAUUAAACGACGUUGGACGACGUUGGACGACGGUGGACGACGGUGGACUACCGUGGAUUACGGUGGAUUACGGUGGAUUACGGUGGAUUACGGUGGACGAUAGUGGACGACGGUGGACAACGUUGGACGACGGUGGACGACGUUGGACGAUAGUGGACGAUAGUGGACGACGUUGGACGACGUUGGACGACGUUGGACGACGGUGGACGACGUUGGACGAUAGUGGACGACGUUGGACGACGUUGGACGACGUUGGACGACGGUGGACGAUGUUGGACGAUAGUGGACGACGUUGGACGACGUUGGACAACGUUGGACGACGGUGGACGACGGUGGACGACGGUGGACGACGAUGGAGGAUCACGAUGAUUAACAUAGGAUAAUAAUAUCAAUUUCCUUUUUAUAAUUUCUUAUAUUCCAUUUAUGAGUGGACGUUAAUGGACAUCGCUUGACAUCGGUGCACAUGAUUGGAUGACGUUGGACGAUAUUGGACGAUGUUGGACAACGUGGGACUGCAUUGAAUCACGAUGAUCAACAUAGGAGAAUAAUUUUAAAUUUAAAUUCCUUUUUAUAAUUUCUUAUAUUCGAUAUUUCAAUGGCCAUUGAUUGACAUCGGUGGACAUUGUUGGAUGACGUUGGACGACGUUGAACGACAUUAAACGACGUUGGACGACGGUGGACGACGGUGGACUACCGUGGAUUACGGUGGAUUACGGUGGAUUACGGUGGAUUACGGUGGAUUACGGUGGAUUACGGUGGAUUACGGUGGAUUACGGUGGAUUACGGUGGAUUACGGUGGAUUACGGUGGACGAUAGUGGACGACGGUGGACAACGUUGGACGACGGUGGACGACGUUGGACGAUAGUGGACGACGUUGGACGACGUUGAACGAUAGUGGACGACGUUGGACGACGUUGGACGACGGUGGACGACGGUGGACGACGAUGGAGGAUCACGAUGAUUAACAUAGGAUAAUAAUAUCAAUUUCCUUUUUAUAAUUUCUUAUAUUCCAUUUAUGAGUGGACGUUAAUGGACAUCGUUUGACAUCGGUGCACAUGAUUGGAUGACGUUGGACGAUAUUGGACGAUGUCGGACAACGUGGGACUGCAUUGAAUCACGAUGAUCAACAUAGGAGAAUAAUUUUAAAUUUAAAUUCCUUUUUAUAAUUUCUUAUAUAUCAAUGGACAUCAAUGGCCAUUGAUUGACAUCGGUGGACAUUGUUGGAUGACGUUGGACGACGUUGGACGAGAUUGAACGACAUUGGACGACACUGAACGACGUUAGACGACAUUGAACGACGUUGACAAUGUUGGACGGCAUGGUAAUGAACAUACGACAUAGAUUUUAAUUUCUUUGUUAUAAUUUCUUAUAUUCGAUAUAAAUCAUAAGAUGCGUGCAUCUUCGAUUUAGGUCCUGGUUUCUAGAAUUGUGUAAGGUAGAUAUAAGAUUUAAGAUAGAUGUAAGAAAUAUGUAAGAUCGAUGUAAGGUUUUGUAUUAAGAUAGAUGUAAAUUUUAGUAUUAAGAUCUAAUAUAAGUUAAAUUUAAGAUAUCAUCGAUGGACAACGUUGGACGACGAUGGAUAAAUCAUUUAUCAAUUGUAUCAUAUUUCUUUUCUACUUUUAAGAAUUAAUUUAUAUAUAAUUAAUUGUAUCAUUUAAUGUAUUAGUCACUUUGUUCAAUAAAUUCAACCUGAUGGGUCUCGAUGCGUAGUCACCUCCCCGUGGGUGAGACCCGGUAAUUGGCAUCGCUUUUCAUAUUUUUCAUUUAAAAAGUAUUAAUUCAUUCCAUUCGAAAAUUUUUCGAAAAGCGAUGGCAAGCCAAGAACUACGCACACCUUCAAUCUAGUCUAAAUAUGAUUGCUUUAAAUUAUUCUGAUUAACUGUCUAUGGACUAGAUUGAAGGUAAUAAAAUCUGUACAAGGUUAUUCUGGUUAAUUUUUUCUUGUAUUUCUAUAAUUUUUUAAGAAAAUUUUAGCGAUUUUAUCUUUUUUCUCUUUUUUUAAAUAAGACCAGAAUGUCUUUGAAUAUUAGUUAAUAAACGAAUAUUAAAUUAUUAUUAUUAAGGACAUUAUUUAUAUCCGUAUCAAGAUACUCUUCUCAACUUAAAGCGAAAAAUAAGAUUCUUAAUUCUUUGAUAUAUCUUUCGUUUUAUUUUUCAUCUCGAGUGGUUUCAUGUGAUCCUUCGAAUCGUUUCUUACUUUUUUCUUCAAUUUAUCCUCAUUUCUAUCUUCGUUUGUUGUUUCUUUUUUAUUUAUUUCAAGUUAUUGUCAAUCACAUGUAACGCAACAGUGGCAAGAGUUGUUAGAUUAGUACUUUACUUUCAGUGGUCAGUCAAAGAUCCGCGCUCUGAUCGAUUGGUGCCACCGAGUACUCGAUCAGAGUUAAGCCUUACGGUAGAAGAAUGUCUUUGUUAGCCAGCAUAGGUGGUCGAGGAUCUUCCUCGUUCCUUCCUGUGUUGCUGGGACAAAUAUCUUCUUCUGUUAGGCCGCUGUCGUAAUUUUUGAUUGACAAUUGACAAGUAUCGUCUAUUCAGCGAUUCUCCACUAAUGUAAGUCGUAACAUGAGAAUGACAAUGAUUAAUAGGAUAUUCCUCUUUUUCAAUUACUUUAUUAUUUUUAUCGAUGACGUAUCUUACGUUUUUCUUCAAUAUUUAUUUCUAUCUCGUUUUGCUCUUCGUUCUGAACAUUACAAUUUUCUUUUAAUUAAAUAAUAAAUUACUUGAAAAAGUUUUUCUAUUUUUGCUGUAAGUUGAUCAAGAAGAGUAUUCUUGAUAUCUUGAAAAUAGAUUUAAGAUUUAAUAUUAAGAUUUAAAUUAUAAUAUUUGCAUUGUAAUUUAUUAUAUUUCGCGUUAAGAUGCAUUUUUAGACGUAAGUCAUAGUUUUAAAUGUAAUAUAAGAUAGAUUUAAGAUUUAGUAUUAAGAUUUAAAUUUUAAUAUUUUUAUUAUAAUUUAUCAUACUCGAUGUAAAUGAUAAGAUGCAUGCAUCUUAGAUUUAAAUCCUAGCUUUAAAUAUAAUAUAAGAUAGAUUUAAGAUUUAAUAUUAAGAUUUAGAUUUUUAUUAUAAUUGAUUAUUAUAAUUGACUCGAUGUAAAUGAUAAGAUACAUGUAUCUUAGAUUUAGGUCCUAGGCUUUAAGUAUAGUAUAAGAUAGAUUUAAGAUUUAGAAUUAAGACUUAAUUUUAAUAUAUUCAUUGUAAUUUAUUAUAUUUCGAUAAGAUGCGUGCGUUUUAGACGCAUUAGUAUUAAGUAUAAAAUAAGGUAGAUUUAAUAUUUAAUAUUAUGAUCUAGAAUAAGUUAAAUUAAGAUUUCAUCGUUGGACAUCGUUGGAUGGCGUUGGACGGCGUUGAAUCACGAUGAUUAAUAUAGGAUAAUGAUUUUAAUUUCCUUUUUAUAAUUUUUUAUAUUCGAUGUUUCAGUGGACAUCAAUUGACAUUGGUGGACAACGUUGCACGACAUUGGACGACGGUGGACGACAGUGGACGACGUUGGACGACGAUGGACGAUAUUGGACGGCAUUGAAUCACGAUGGUCAACAUAGAAUAAUGAUUUUAAUUUCCUUUUUAUAAUUUUUUAUAUUCGAUGUUUCAGUGAACAUCAACGGACAUCGAUUGACAUCGGUAGAUAACGUUACACGACGUUGAACGACAUUGAAUGACGUUGGAUGAUGUUGGAUGACAUUGGAUGACGGUGGGCGACGGUGGACAACGGUGGAUGACGCUGGACAACGGUGGAUGGCGUUGAAUCACGAUGAUCAACAUAGAAUAAUGAUUUUAAUAUCCUUUUUAUAAUUUCUUAUAUUCGAUGUUUCAGUGGACAUCAAUGGAUAUCGAUGGACAUCGAUGAACAACGUAGUAUGACGUUGGAUCGCGAAAAUCUCUGUAGUACAGAUUUUAAUUUCCUUUUUCUAAUUUCUUAUAUUCGAUCAGUGGAUAUCGGUGGAUAUUGUUGAACGACGUUGGAUGAUGGUGAUCAACAUAAAAUAAUAAUUUUAAUUUCCUUUCUAUAAUUUCAUAUAUUCGUUGUAUGGAUGAAUAUUGAUUGACAACGUUGGAUGACGUUGAACGAUAUUGGAUCACAAUAAUCAGCAUACGACAUAGAUUUUAAUUUCUUUAUUAUAAUUUCUUAUAUUUGAUGUAUCGAUAGAAAACAAUGGACAUCGAUGAACAACAUAGAACGACAUUUGAUCACGGUAAUCAAUAUAGAAUACGGAUUUUAAUUUCCUUUUUAUAAUUUUUUAUAUGGGACGUAAAUCAUAAGAUGCGAGUAUUUUAGAUUUAAGUCCUAGUUUUAAAUAUAAUAUUUAUUUAGGUUUUGGUAUAAAAAUUUAAUAUUUAAAAUAAUUUAAUUUAAAAUGGGCAUGGAUGAACAACGCUGGAUGCCGUUGAAUCACGAUAAUCAGCAUACGACAUAGAUUUUAAUUUCUUUUUUUAUAAUUUCUUAUAUUCGAUGUAACGAUGGACAUUGUUGGACGGCAUUGAAUCACGAUAAUCAACAUAUGACAUAGCUUUUAAUACGAUUAGAUUUUUUUUAUAAUUUGUUAUAUUUGACGUAAAUCAUAAGAUGCGAGAGUUUUAGAUUUAAUUCCUAGUUUUUAAUAUAAUACUUUUAUAUAGAUAUAAUAUAGUUUUGAAACUUAAUAUUAAAAUUUUGAAUAAGUUAAUUUAAAAUUUCAUCGAUAGACAUCGAUGGACAACAUUGGACGUCGUUGGAUCACGAUAAUCGGUAUAUGACAUAGAUUUUAAUUUCUUUAUUAUAAUUUCUUAUAUUCGAUGUAUCGAUGGACAACGAUGGACAUCGAUCGACAACGUUGGACGAUGUUGGACGAUGUUUGAUCACGAUAAUCAGCAUACGACAGAUUUAAUUUUUUUUACAAUUUUUUAUAUUCUAUGUAACGAUGGACAAUGCUGAUUGGAGAUUGGAUCACGAUAUUCAACAUACGAUAUAGCUUUUAAUACGAUUAGAUUUCUUUUUUAUAAUUUGUUAUAUUCGACGUAAAUCAUAAGAUGCGAGCAUGUUAGACUUAACUCCUAGUUUUAAGUAUAUUUUUUUUAGGAUAGAUUUAAGAUUUAAUAUUAAGAUUUAGAAUAAAUUAAUUUAAGAUUUCAUCGAUGCAUAUCGAUGGACAACGUUGGACACCGUUGGAUCACAAUAAUCAGUAUAGAUUUUUAAUUUUUUUAUAAUUUAUAAUGAUUUCAAUUUCAUUUUUAUAAUUUCUUAUAUUCGAUGUAUCAAUGAACAUCGUUGGACGACGUUGGAUCACGAUAAUCAAUACGGAUAGAAUACGGAUUUUAAUUUCUUAUAUUCGAUGGUUAAUUCUUAUAACGAUGGAAAAUGUUGGACGGCGUUGGAUCACGAUAAUGAACAUACGAUAGAGCUUUUAAUAUUAUUAGAUUUCUUUACUAUAAUUUGUUAUAUUCAAUGUAUCGAUUAACAACAAUGGACAUCUAUCGACGGCGUUGGAUGAUAUUUGAUCAUGAUAAUCAGCAUACGACAUAGAUUUUAAUUUAUUUUUUUAUAAUUUCUUAUAUUCGAUGGACAAUGUUGGACAGCGUUGGACGACGUUGGAUCAUGAUAUACGUAAUAAAUUUUAAUUUAUUAUAAUUUCUUAUAUUCGAUGUAAAUCAUAAAAUGCAUGCAUCUUAGAUUUAAGUAUUAGUUUUAAGUAUUAGUUUUAAGCAUAAUGUAAGAUAGAUGUAAUAUUUAAUAUUAAGAUUUAUAAAUAACUAAUUGUAUUAUUUCAAUUGUAUUAUUCAAUUUGUUCAAUAAAUUCAACCUGAUGGGUCUCGAUGCGUAGUCACCUCCCCGUGGGUGAGACCCGGUAAUUGGCAUCGCUUUUCAUAUUUUUCAUUUAAAAAGAUAUUUUCAUUUCCGUUCGAAAAUUUUUCGAAAAGCGAUGGCAAGCCAAGAACUACGCGCACCUUCAAUCUAAUCUAAAAUAACUGCUUUGAAUUAUUAUGAUUAAUUUACAAUAGAUUAGAUUGAAGGUACUAAUAAAGUCUUUUACAUUCGAUGUAAAUGACAAGAUGCGCGCAUCUUUUAAGUAUAAUGUAAGAUAGAUUUAAGAUUUAAUAUUAAGAUUUAGAUUUUUAUUAUAAUUGAUUAUACUCGAUCUAAAUGAUAAGAUGCAUGCAUCUUAGAUUUAGGUCUUAGUUUUUUUAAUAAUAUUAGAUAGAUAUAAGAUAUAUGUAAGACAGAUGUAAGAUAUAUGUAAGAUAUAUGUAAGAUCGAUGUAAGAUCGAUGUAAAAUAAAUGUAAGAUCGAUGUAAAAUAGAUGUAAGACUUAGUAUUAAAAUCUGUAAGUUAAAUUUAAUAUUUCAUCGAUGGACGACGUUGGACGACGUUGGAUCACGAUAAUCAGCAUACAACAUAGUUUUUAAUUUUUUAUAAUUUUUUAUAUUCGAUGUAAAUCAUAAGAUGCAUGCAUCUUUGAUUUAGGUCCUGGUUUCUUGAAUUAUGUAAGAUAGAUAUAAGAUGUAAGAUAAAUGUAAAAAAUAUGUAAGAUCGAUGUAAGAUAAAUGUAAGGUUUAGUAUUAAUAUAGAUGUAAGAUUUAGUAUUAGGAUCUAGUAUAAGUUAAAUUUAAGUCUUCAACGAUGGACGACGUUGGACGACGAUGGAUAAAUCAUUUACCAAUUGUAUCAUAUUUCUAUCUUUAAGAUUUAGUUUAUAGAUAAUUAAUUGUAUCAUUUAACGUACUGCUCGAUUUGUUCAAUAAAUUCAACCUGAUGGGUCUUGAUGCGUAGUCACGUCCCCGUGGGUGAGACCCGGUAAUUGGCAUCGCUUUUCAUAUUUUUCAUUUAAAAAGAUAUCUUCAUUUCCAUUCGUAAAUUUUGCGAAAAGCGAUGGCAAGCCAAGAACUAUGCACACUUUCAAUCUAGUCUAAAUUGAUUGCGUUAAAUUAUUUUGAUUAAUUAACAAUGGAUUAGAUUGAAGGUACUUAUAAAGUCUUUUACAUUCGAUGUGAAUGACAAGAUGCACGUAUCUUAGAUUUAGGUCCUAACUUUAAGUAUAAUGUAAAGUAGGUUUAAGAUUUAGAAUUAAGACUUAAUUUUAAUAUGUUCAUUGUAAUUUAUUAUAUUUCGGUAAGAUGCGUGCGUUUUAUAUGUAAAUUCUAGUUUUAAGUAUAAAAUAAGAUAGAUUUAAGAUUUAGUAUUAAGAUCUAAAAUAAGUUAAAUUAAGAAAGAUAUCGAUAGACAACGUUGGACGACGUUGGACGACGUUGAACGACAUGGGAUGACAAUGAUUAACAUAGAAUAAUGAUUUUAAUUUCUUUUUUAUAAUUUCUUAUAUUCGAUAUAUCAAUGGACAUCGAAUAAUAUCAAUGAACAUCGUUGGACAUCGACUGACAUCAAUGGACAUCGUUGGACAUCAUUUGACAUCAUUAGACAUCCUUCGACGACGACAGUGAACGACGUUGGACGACAGUGUACGACAUUGGAUGACAUUGGACGGCGGUGGACGACGUUGGACAACUGUGGACGACGUUGGGUGACAGUGGACAAUGUUGGACGACUGGACAUUAGUGGCCAUCCAUUGACAUCAGUGGACAUCGUUGGACGACAUGGGACUGCAUUGAAUCACGAUGAUCAACAUAGGAGAAUGAUUUUAAUUCCCUUUUUAUAAUUUCUUAUAUUCGAUGUUUCAAUGGACAUAAAUGGCCAUCGAUUGAUAUCGGCGGACAUCAUUGGACGACGUUGGGCGACAUAGAUACGAAUUUCUUUAUUAAAAUUUCUUAUAUUCGAUGUAUCGAUGGAAAACAGUGGACAUCGAUGAAUAACUGGACAUCAAUGGAUAUCGAUGGACAUCGAUGAACAACGUAGUAUGACGUUGGAUCGCGAAAAUCUCUAUAGUACAGAUUUUAAUUUCCUUUUUCUAAUUUCUUAUAUUCGAUCAGUGGAUAUCGGUGGAUAUUGUUGAACGACGUUGGAUGAUGGUGAUCAACAUAAAAUAAUAAUUUUAAUUUCCUUUCUAUAAUUUCAUAUAUUCGUUGUAUGGAUGAAUAUUGAUUGACAACGUUGGAUGACGUUGAACGAUAUUGGAUCACAAUAAUCAGCAUACGACAUAGAUUUUAAUUUCUUUAUUAUAAUUUCUUAUAUUUGAUGUAUCGAUAGAAAACAAUGGACAUCGAUGAACAACAUAGAACGACAUUUGAUCACGGUAAUCAAUAUAGGAUACGGAUUUUAAUUUCCUUUUUAUAAUUUUUUAUAUGGGACGUAAAUCAUAAGAUGCGAGUAUUUUAGAUUUAAGUCCUAGUUUUAAAUAUAAUAUUUAUUUAGGUUUUGGUAUAAAAAUUUAAGAUUUAAAAUAAUUUAAUUUAAAAUGGGCAUGGAUGAACAACGCUGGAUGCCGUUGAAUCACGAUAAUCAGCAUACGACAUAGAUUUUAAUUUCUUUUUUUAUAAUUUCUUAUAUUCGAUGUAACGAUGGAGAAUAUUGGACAACGUUGGAUCACGAUAAUCAACAUAAGAUAUAGCUUUCAAAAUGAUUAGAUUUCUUUAUUAUAAUUUGUUAUAUUCGACGUAAAUCAUAAGAUGCAUCUUAGAUUUAGGUCUUAGUUUUUAAUAAUAUAAGAUAGAUGUAAGAUAGAUGUAAAGUUUAGUAUUAAGAUAUAUGUAACAUUUAGUAUUAAGAUCUAAUAUAAAUUAAAUUUAAGUCUUCAACGAUGGACGACGUUGGACGACGAUGGAUCAUGAUAUACGUAAUAAAUUUUAAUUUAUUAUAAUUUCUUAUAUUCGAUGUAAAUCAUAAGAUGCAUGCAUCUUAGAUUUAAGUAUUAGUUUUAAGUAUUAGUUUUAAGCAUAAUGUAAGAUAGAUGUAAUAUUUAGUAUUAAGAUUUAUAAAUAACUAAUUGUAUUAUUUCAAUUGUACUAUUCAAUUUGUUCAAUAAAUUCAACCUGAUGGGUCUCGAUGCGUAGUCACCUCCCCGUGGGUGAGACCCGGUAAUUGGCAUCGCUUUUCAUAUUUUUCAUUUAAAAAAAUAUCUUCAUUUCCAUUCGAAAAUUUUUCGAAAAGCGAUGGCAAGCCAAGAACUACGCACACCUUCAAUCUAGUCUAAAUAUGAUUGCUUUAAAUUAUUCUGAUUAACUGUCUAUGGACUAGAUUGAAGGUAAUAAAAUCUGUACAAGGUUAUUCUGGUUAAUUUUUUCUUGUAUUUCUAUAAUUUUUUAAGAAAAUUUUAGCGAUUUUAUCUUUUUUCUCUUUUUUUAAAUAAGACCAGAAUGUCUUUGAAUAUUAGUUAAUAAACGAAUAUUAAAUUAUUAUUAUUAAGGACAUUAUUUAUAUCCGUAUCAAGAUACUCUUCUCAACUUAAAGCGAAAAAUAAGAUUCUUAAUUCUUUGAUAUAUCUUUCGUUUUAUUUUUCAUCUCGAGUGGUUUCAUGUGAUCCUUCGAAUCGUUUCUUACUUUUUUCUUCAAUUUAUCCUCAUUUCUAUCUUCGUUUGUUGUUUCUUUUUUAUUUAUUUCAAGUUAUUGUCAAUCACAUGUAACGCAACAGUGGCAAGAGUUGUUAGAUUAGUACUUUACUUUCAGUGGUCAGUCAAAGAUCCGCGCUCUGAUCGAUUGGUGCCACCGAGUACUCGAUCAGAGUUAAGCCUUACGGUAGAAGAAUGUCUUUGUUAGCCAGCAUAGGUGGUCGAGGAUCUUCCUCGUUCCUUCCUGUGUUGCUGGGACAAAUAUCUUCUUCUGUUAGGCCGCUGUCGUAAUUUUUGAUUGACAAUUGACAAGUAUCGUCUAUUCAGCGAUUCUCCACUAAUGUAAGUCGUAACAUGAGAAUGACAAUGAUUAAUAGGAUAUUCCUCUUUUUCAAUUACUUUAUUAUUUUUAUCGAUGACGUAUCUUACGUUUUUCUUCAAUAUUUAUUUCUAUCUCGUUUUGCUCUUCGUUCUGAACAUUACAAUUUUCUUUUAAUUAAAUAAUAAAUUACUUGAAAAAGUUUUUCUAUUUUUGCUGUAAGUUGAUCAAGAAGAGUAUUCUUGAUAUCUUGAAAAUAGAUUUAAGAUUUAAUAUUAAGAUUUAAAUUAUAAUAUUUGCAUUGUAAUUUAUUAUAUUUCGCGUUAAGAUGCGUUUUUAGACGUAAGUCAUAGUUUUAAAUGUAAUAUAAGAUAGAUUUAAGAUUUAGUAUUAAGAUUUAAAUUUUAAUAUUUUUAUUAUAAUUUAUCAUACUCGAUGUAAAUGAUAAGAUGCAUGCAUCUUAGAUUUAAAUCCUAGCUUUAAAUAUAAUAUAAGAUAGAUUUAAGAUUUAAUAUUAAGAUUUAGAUUUUUAUUAUAAUUGAUUAUUAUAAUUGACUCGAUGUAAAUGAUAAGAUACAUGUAUCUUAGAUUUAGGUCCUAGGCUUUAAGUAUAGUAUAAGAUAGAUUUAAGAUUUAGAAUUAAGACUUAAUUUUAAUAUAUUCAUUGUAAUUUAUUAUAUUUCGAUAAGAUGCGUGCGUUUUAGACGCAUUAGUAUUAAGUAUAAAAUAAGGUAGAUUUAAUAUUUAAUAUUAUGAUCUAGAAUAAGUUAAAUUAAGAUUUCAUCGUUGGACAUCGUUGGAUGGCGUUGGACGGCAUUGAAUCACGAUGAUUAAUAUAGGAUAAUGAUUUUAAUUUCCUUUUUAUAAUUUUUUAUAUUCGAUGUUUCAGUGGACAUCAAUUGACAUUGGUGGACAACGUUGCACGACAUUGGACGACGGUGGACGACGAUGGAGGAUCACGAUGAUUAACAUAGGAUAAUAAUAUCAAUUUCCUUUUUAUAAUUUCUUAUAUUCCAUUUAUGAGUGUACGUUAAUGGACAUCGCUUGACAUCGGUGCACAUGAUUGGAUGACGUUGGACGAUAUUGGACGAUGUUGGACAACGUGGGACUGCAUUGAAUCACGAUGAUCAACAUAGGAGAAUAAUUUUAAAUUUAAAUUCCUUUUUAUAUUUUCUUAUAUUCGAUAUUUCAAUGGACAUCAAUGGCCAUUGAUUGACAUCGGUGGACAUUGUUGGAUGACGUUGGACGACGUUGAACGACAUUAAACGACAUUAAACGACGUUGGACGACGUUGGACGACGGUGGACGACGGUGGACUACCGUGGAUUACGGUGGAUUACGGUAGAUUACGGUGGAUUACGGUGGAUUACGGUGGACGAUAGUGGACGACGGUGGACAACGUUGGACGAUAGUGGAUGACGUUGGACGACGUUGGACGACGUUGGACGACGUUGGACGACGGUGGACAACGUUGGACGAUAGUGGACGACGUUGGACGACGUUGGACGACGUUGGACGACGGUGGACGACGUUGGACGAUAGUGGACGACGUUGGACGACGUUGAACGACGUUGGACGACGGUGGACGACGUUGGACGAUAGUGGACGACGUUGGACGAUGUUGGACAACGGUGGACGACGGUGGACGACGAUGGAGGAUCACGAUGAUUAACAUAGGAUAAUAAUAUCAAUUUCCUUUUUAUAAUUUCUUAUAUUCCAUUUAUGAGUGGACGUUAAUGGACAUCGUUUGACAUCGGUGCACAUGAUUGGAUGACGUUGGACGAUAUUGGACGAUGUUGGACAACGUGGGACUGCAUUGAAUCACGAUGGUCAACAUAGGAGAAUAAUUUUAAAUUUAAAUUCCUUUUUAUAAUUUCUUAUAUUUCAAUGGACAUCAAUGGCCAUUGAUUGACAUCGGUGGACAUUGUUGGAUGACGUUGGACGACGUUGGACGAGAUUGAACGACAUUGGACGACACUGAACGACGUUAGACGACAUUGAACGACGUUGACAAUGUUGGACGGCAUGGUAAUGAACAUACGACAUAGAUUUUAAUUUCUUUGUUAUAAUUUCUUAUAUUCAAUGUAAAUCAUAAGAUGCAUGCAUCUUAGAUUUAGGUCCUAGGAUGAUAAGUAUAAUAUAAGAUAGGUUUAAGAUUUAGUAUUAAUAUCUAGAAUAAGUUAAUUUAUGAUUUCAUCGAUGGAUAUCGAUGGACAACGUUGGACGUCGUUGGAUCGCGAAAAUCAAUAUAGCGUACAGAUUUUAAUUUCCUUUUUCUAAUUUCUUAUAUGUGAUGUAUCAAUGGACAUCGGUGGACAUUGGUAGGCAUCGUUAGAUGAAGUUGGACGAUGUUGGAUCACGAUAAUUAGCAUACGACAUAGAUUUUAAUUUCUUUUUUUAUAUUUUCUUAUAUUUAUAUGUAACGAUGGAGAAUGCAGGAAGGCGUUGGAUCACGAUAAUCAUUUUAUUAUAAUUUGUUAUAUUUGAUGUAUCGAUGGACCAAUCGAUCGACGACGUUGGACGAUAUUUGAUCACGAUAAUCAGCAUACAACAUAGAUUUUAAUUUCUUUAUUAUAAUUACUUGUAUCGAUGUAUCGAUGGACAACGAUGUACAUCGAUGGACAACGUAGGACAAGGUUGGAUCGCGAUAGUCAGUAUAGAAUAUGGAUUUUAAUUCCCUUUUUAUAAUUUCUUAUAUUCGAUGUAACGAUGGAGAAUAUUGGACAACGUUGAAUCACAAUAAUCGACAUACGAUAUAGCUUUCAAUAUUAUUAGGUUUCUUUAUUAUAAUAUGUUAUAUUCGAUAUAUCGAUGGACAACGAUGGACAUCGAUCGACGACGUUGGAUGAUAUUUGAUCCCGAUAAUCAGCAUACGACAUAGAUUUUAAUUUCUUUAUUAUAAUUACUUGUAUUCGAUGUAUCGAUGGACAACGAUGGACAUCGAUCGACGACGUUGGACGAUAUUUGAUCCCAAUAAUAAGCAUACGACAUAGAUUUUAAUUUCUUUAUUAUAAUUACUUGUAUUCGAUGUAUCGAUGGACAACGAUGGACAUCGAUCGACGACGUUGGACGAUAUUUGAUCUCGAUAAUCAGCAUACGACAUAGAUUUUAAUUUCUUUAUUAUAAUUACUUGUAUUCGAUGUAUCGAUGGACAACGAUGGACAUCGAUCGACGACGUUGGACGGUAUUUGAUCCCGAUAAUCAACAUACGACAUAGAUUUUAAUUUCUUUUUUUAUAAUUUCUUAUAUUCGAUGUAACGAUGGAGAAUAUUGGACAACGUUGGAUCACGAUAAUCAACAUAAGAUAUAGCUUUUAAAAUGAUUAGAUUUCUUUAUUGUUAUUUAUUAUAUUCGACGUAAAUCAUAAGAUGCAUGCAUCUUAGAUUUAGGUCCUAGUUUUUCGAAUAAUGUAAGAUAGAUAUAAGACGUAAGAUAUAUGUAAGGUAAAUGUAAGAUAGAUAUAAGAUAGAUGUAAGAUUUAGUAUUAAGAUCUAUUAAGUAUAAUUUAAAUUGAAGGCUUCACCAAUGGAUGACGUUGGGCAACGAUGAAUAAUUUAUUUACCAACUGUAUCAUAUUUUUUUUCUAUGUAAUAUAAGAUUUAGUUUGUAGAUAAUUCAUUGUAUCAUUUCAAUGUAUUAGUCAAUAAAUUAUUCAAUAAAUUCAACCUUAUGGGUCUCGAUGCGUAAUCACCUCCCCGUAGGUGAGACCCGGUAAUUGGCAUCGCUUUUCAUAUUUUUAAUAAAAAAAAAUAUUUUAAUUUCCAUUUGAAAACUUUUCGAAAAGUGAUGGCAAGCCAAGAACUACGCACACCUUCAAUCUAGUCUAAAAUGAUUGCUUUAAAUUAUAUUGAUUAAUUGACAAUGGAUUAGAUUGAAGGUACAAAUAAAGUUUUUUUACAUUCGAUGUAAGUGACAAGAUGCGCGCAUCUUAGAUUUAAGUUUUAGUUUUAAGUAUAAUAUAAGAUAAAUUUAAGAUUUAAUAUUAAGACUUAGAUUUUAAUAUUUUUAUUAUAAUUGAUUACACUCGAUGUAAAUGAUAAGAUGCAUGCAUCUUAGAUUUAGGUUCUAACUUUAAGUAUAAUGUAAAAUAGGUUUAAGAUUUAGAAA